GCGGUGGAAUGCGCAGAUAUCAGGAGGAACACCGAUGGCGAAGGCAGAUCUCUGGGCCGUAACUGACGCUGAGGAGCGAAAGGGUGGGGAGCAAACAGGCUUAGAUACCCUGGUAGUCCACCCCGUAAACGUUGGGAACUAGUUGUGGGGUCCUUUCCACGGAUUCCGUGACGCAGCUAACGCAUUAAGUUCCCCGCCUGGGGAGUACGGCCGCAAGGCUAAAACUCAAAGGAAUUGACGGGGACCCGCACAAGCGGCGGAGCAUGCGGAUUAAUUCGAUGCAACGCGAAGAACCUUACCAAGGCUUGACAUACACGAGAACGGGCCAGAAAUGGUCAACUCUUUGGACACUCGUGAACAGGUGGUGCAUGGUUGUCGUCAGCUCGUGUCGUGAGAUGUUGGGUUAAGUCCCGCAACGAGCGCAACCCUCGUUCUAUGUUGCCAGCACGUAAUGGUGGGAACUCAUGGGAUACUGCCGGGGUCAACUCGGAGGAAGGUGGGGAUGACGUCAAAUCAUCAUGCCCCUUAUGUCUUGGGCUUCACGCAUGCUACAAUGGCCGGUACAAAGGGCUGCAAUACCGUGAGGUGGAGCGAAUCCCAAAAAGCCGGUCCCAGUUCGGAUUGAGGUCUGCAACUCGACCUCAUGAAGUCGGAGUCGCUAGUAAUCGCAGAUCAGCAACGCUGCGGUGAAUACGUUCCCGGGUCUUGUACACACCGCCCGUCAAGUCAUGAAAGUCGGUAACACC
rnacentral:rRNA from 1 species